rnacentral:rRNA from 1 species
UACGUAGGUGGCAAGCGUUGUCCGGAUUUACUGGGCGUAAAGAGCGCGCAGGCGGUCGUUCAAGUCGCGUGUGAAAGCCCCCGGCUCAACUGGGGAGGGUCACGCGAUACUGAUCGACUCGAAGGCAGGAGAGGGUAGUGGAAUUCCCGGUGUAGUGGUGAAAUGCGUAGAUAUCAGGAGGAACACCGGUGGCGAAGGCGGAUCUCUGGGCCGAUACUGACGCUGAGGAGCGAAAGCGUGGGGAGCGAACAGG